CUAAGUCGGAUUAGCUAGUUGGUGGGGUAAAGGCCUACCAAGGCGACGAUCUGUAGCGGGUCUGAGAGGAUGAUCCGCCACACUGGGACUGAGACACGGCCCAGACUCUACGGGAGGCAGCAGUGGGGAAUAUUGGACAAUGGGGGGAACCCUGAUCCAGCCAUGCCGCGUGUGUGAAGAAGGCCUUAUGGUUGUAAAGCACUUUAAGCGAGGAGGAGGCUCUCUUGGUUAAUACCCAAGAUGAGUGGACGUUACUCGCAGAAUAAGCACCGGCUAACUCUGUGCCAGCAGCCGCGGUAAUACAGAGGGUGCGAGCGUUAAUCGGAUUUACUGGGCGUAAAGCGUGCGUAGGCGGCUUUUUAAGUCGGAUGUGAAAUCCCCGAGCUUAACUUGGGAAUUGCAUUCGAUACUGGGAAGCUAGAGUAUGGGAGAGGAUGGUAGAAUUCCAGGUGUAGCGGUGAAAUGCGUAGAGAUCUGGAGGAAUACCGAUGGCGAAGGCAGCCAUCUGGCCUAAUACUGACGCUGAGGUACGAAAGCAUGGGGAGCAAACAGGAUUAGAUACCCUGGUAGUCCAUGCCGUAAACGAUGUCUACUAGCCGUUGGGGCCUUUGAGGCUUUAUGUGGCGCAGCUAACGCGAUAAGUAGACCGCCUGGGGAGUACGGUCGCAAGACU
rnacentral:rRNA from 1 species